rnacentral:lncRNA from 1 species
AUGUCCCAUCCCCCCCGCACACACACCCCUUUCUUUCAAGGGGCGUGGCCCCAGCACCCCACACUGGAGCCGGGGCAGCUUGCAGCCGGGGCGCCCCUUGGAGCCACUCCCCUCCUUUCCAGGGCUGCACCUGGGACCUCAUGCUGGCAGAGGGGCCUCCCUGGAGUCCCCGCUCCCCCUUCCCCUGGCAGCCCAGGACGGGCCCCGCCGCCUCCAGCUUCGCCGCACACCAGGCCCGGGACAGUCCAGGAAGCAAUCGGAAGCCUCCGGGGGAAGCAGCUGACCCUGGAGAGGCCCCGAGAGGGGGAGGCCGAGGAGGCCCAAGCGGAGCGGCCUCCCGGGCGGCAACCAGCGCUCACCUCCCCUUACCCUGGGCCAGAAGGGGUGGCGGCAGCGGAGGCGGCGGCUGAGGUCCCGGGAAGCCGCUCCAACUUCCACCCCAGCCCCAGGGCCGGCCGGGGGGCUUGGCACGCACGACCUCCUCCAGACCCCGCGGCCCUGCCAGGUGGCUCUGAUCCCUGCCCGGGCCUGGCCAUCCCGUCCUCGCCCGCGGCCGGCGGUCCGAACCGAGGUCCAGCGGCCCGGCCGGGCCUGGGUACGGCAGGAGCCUCCCCGCGGGGCUGCCGCAAACUUUCUCCCCAAUCUCCGUGGAGGGGCAGCGCCCGCCCCCCGCCGCCCCGGAGCUGCCGCGGGGCUCGGUGGGCCCGGCCGGGGGGUGGGGGAGGCCGCGGUUCUGGGCCCCGGGCCGCGGUCCCAGCCCCGCCGCACGGGGGUGCGGUCUCUCCGCGUCGGCGCCGCGGCCGCGCCCGGACACACGCGGACGCCUGGGCCGGAGCCGCAGGGACACGCGGACCGCGGACACGCGCGCCGCAGUCUCCUCGCACACCCCCUGAACGCCGCCGCACGCGAGGGCUGCCGCCGGAGGCUGCCCCGCGCCCACCCACGGGCCGCCCGGUUCGGGACCCCCGCCCGGCCCGGCUCCCGCCCACCGUCCCGCGCCGCGGGGAAAGUUGCGCCCCGACUCACCCGCCGCCCCGGGGCGCGCCCCGCCGCCGGCCAUCGCCGCGCCCAGCCGCCUGCGCCGCCGCCACCCGCCCUGCCGCAGGGCCACCGAAGCCGCGCAGGCCGCCCAGGCCGAGGCCGCCGCCGCGCCGGGGCUCCGCUGCGUGGCCGCGCAGCCGAUGCCCAGCAUGA